GUUUGCAUAUUUCGCAGACGAAACUUCAGAGAAUAUGCGAGUGACAAUAAAAUGACACAAGGACCGACUCUGGAAGUUGCAGACAUUUUCAAACACACGGAAGCUGCGAGUGCAGCUCUAGACAUUACUGCAAUACUCUGGAUGGAUCCAUAUCUGAUGUGAUCCGAUGUAAAUCACCAACACAGUAAAUAGCCUAAGUCUAGGGGCUACUUAUAAAAGUAAAAUGGAUAUUCUGAAACGUCCAGUUUUGAAGUUAGGCCUACUCUACCUUUUGGGCUCUGGAUGCUGAUUGAAUCUAGCCAUUGUGUUACAGGCACAUCAUUUUCAGGGGGGCGGUACAGAUGCGUCUGCAGCUAAGGUAAGUUCCCGCCCCAUGGGUGUGUGUCUAUGUAGGCUACGGGCGAGCGCACUGCAUUCACCUGCCAAUGCGUCUCCCCUUCAGUAGCCUACAGAGCUGUCUGUGGUGUAGUGCGCCGCGUCAACUUUAGCAACUCCUCAAUUUCAAGGAAUAACAGAUAUUAACGAGAACAACAAAGUGGGAUUGUACACUAUUGACCGAGACAAGAGUAGAGAGCAGGAGACAAAUAUUGCAAGCUUAGGUGAUUGCCAAGUUCAUUUGGAUCCAUAGCUUUGUUGCUGGGGAUUCGUGCAGGAUCUCCGCGGCUUCAUUCGUACACUGGGGACGGAGAAGGAGAAUUUAGUAGGAUUUUGUUAUCUGCCUUCUAAAUGACUCUUAUGACUGGAAUCUGCGUAAUUUCCACCGGGCAAUAAUAACCAGGUACCUGGACUCUCUCUCCUCUUCUUCUCUGUAAGCGGAGGGACCAUGCUGUGGGACAAAAUGUGGUGGCUGUCCACCAUGCUGGCCCUUUCGGCCCAGGCACUGCCCACAUUGCCCAUUGAGCCCCUCUCUGCCCCUCGGGUUUUCCUCUCCUUCAAAGGGUUUAGGGGGACUAGGAAGGCGUUACAGACAGCUACGUGCUUGGCACACCGUGGUGUCAGUGUGAGCCCAGCCACCUCUCUCUGGCUGAAGCUUGAUUAUCUGCUGAGAGAGGAGGUUGACGAGAGACAUGAGCAGGGGAGAGAAGAAGUGCUGUUUUUGCCUACUGGUCAGGGCCAGAGACCAAAUCUUCAUUAAACAGACUGUCUGACUGACUACCACAGUCCUCCAACAGCGCUUCGUCUGCCCUCGGCAAAGCCCAGUGUAUUAUGAAUACUUAAAUUGGCACGUGAGGCCCUGUCUGUGUAGUGAACUGUACCUUGAAAGUGGACCUUUAUGGUGUACCAUAAUCUCUGAUGCUUUAUCAAUCCCGUUGCACUGUGUGCAUGUAGGGCUAAUUGUGAUGUGAACCCCGGUGUGGAGCUCAAAAGAGAGGAGGCCUCGCUAAACCUCCAGAUGUCUUUAAAUCCUCAUCACCUCAUGUGGGGAAUGAGAAUAGAUUUUGCACUUUUUUUUUUUUUUUGCCUGUGAGUUAUGUGGAAUUGGGCAACCUGAGUCUCUCUCUCUCUCUCUCCCUCUCCCUCUCCCUCUCCCUCUCCCUCUUUCAUUUUGCUUACUUGUCGGUUUUCACUCUCUAAUUAAAUUGGUUUUCACAACCCACUGGUUUCAAGUUUACAAUCGCACUGCUCCAAAAUGGUCAUUUCUUUCCAAUUUCCUUUAAAUCAGUUCCUUUUUUGUUGUUGUUAUUCAUUGGUUGUUGAGAGAUCUAUAGGGUCGUUCCAUUUGAAUUCAAUCCCUUUUUGACCACAUCCCUUUUGAUUUGAACAAAACUUUCCAUACAUAUUUGCCCAUAGUGGAAGUGUUCAGAAAGGGACUUUUUGGACCUGAAUGUUAAAACAUUGAGGUGCUCAAAUUUGACCCAUUUUGCAUUCCCCGCCAUACCAUGAGACAUCCAAGUCUUAGUCACUGGAAAAGAUUAACGGUUGAGUUUGAUAUCAUUUAAAAGCUUUUACAAACAGCGUUAUCUAUUUUAUCAUGUUGCAUGCUCUUGAAUACAGGGUGGGUGUCAUAUUCUGGAAAAUAAAUGUACUAGAAUUUAUAAAAUUGACAUUUAAAACUCAAAUUGGGCCACAAAGAUUGUUGGAAGCCCACACAUCAGAGAAUGUUGACUUGAAUGGGGAUAUCAGUUGUUUUAAAUUAUACUGUCAAUAUUGUAUAGGAAACCUAUUUAAAUGUAAAUAAUGGAAUAGACAAUUCCCAAAUAAGUUGACAUUCGAUGGUGGGUGGACCGGCGGCCAUCUUUGUGGUAGUGAUUGGAAGUUACCAUUUCAAUUCAAUUUCAAUGGUGUUUCAGCUACAUUGCAGUGGUCUGAAGGUCCAGUCUCUGAAUCCUAUUUCUAUGAUUGAAAUGAUACCCACCCUGAGCAUGCUGUGUCUCAACCAAUGGUGGGCACAACACAAACACAUCAAACGAUGUAAAAUAGUGUCUAUGUUACAACAUAUGUAAAAAUGGGGGUUUGUUGACGUUAAAGGUAAAAAAUAAAUUUAAAAAAUCAAUCAUAAUUUGUAUUUAAAAAAGAAAUUCAAGAAAUUAUCAGAUAGGUUGAAAACAUUGUCAGAUUUGAAAUUAUAUCAAACUCUGUUAAUCUUUUCCAGUAAUGAAUACUUGGAUGUCUCAUGGCAUCGUGGGGUAUGCAACUUUGAGCACCGAUGUCUCUUGAAUGUUUUUGGCAUUUAGGUCAAAAAAGUCACUUUAUGACCUUUUCUACCAUGGGCAAAAAAUGAAUGGAAAGUUUCGUUCAAAACAAAAGGUCAAAGGUCAAAAAAUAUUUGAAAUCAAAUGGAACGACCCUAUAUGCUUGACAGAGCAACUUCACUUUGCUGGUGACUAGAAUUGAACAUGAGCUGCACAUUUUCUAAUUGUGUUGUUUUGGCUCACACUAAGGGGAAUUGCUUUUAAAUGUGCCUAUAUUGAUUCCUUUAUGGACCUUGGUGAGCCAAAUAAUUAGCUACACAUUUUACAAAGCAUACACAUGGGGGCGGGGGCGGGGGGGGGGGGGGGGGGGGNNNNNNNNNNUGUGUGUGUGUGUGUGUGUGUGUGUGUGUGUGUGUGUGUGUGUGUGUGUGUGUGUGUGUGUGUGUGUGUGUGUGUGUGUGUGUGUGUGUGUGUGUGUGUGUGUGUGUGUGCGUUCGUGUCUCUUGAUGUCUGCUGCGGCUUUUUUUAUCCCAGUUGAAAUGUGACAGACAGGAUAAAAAUAGGCUCAGUGGAAGAUGCAACGAUGAUGUUGUCUAAUUUCCUUUUUUAUCCCCUAUAAAACAGAAUUGAGGACUGCUGAACAUUCAAACAUGUAUUCAGAUAUAUUCAGAUAUGUCUUAGGCCUAGUUUAGGUUUUUGUUUGGUUUUCACAUGCAGUUGACCAUUGACUAUAGGCGUCAAUGGUCUUCUGGCCAUUGUUCCUCGUGAAUGUCAGAAACUACUUGGUGAACCCUUGCCAAUCCUUUGCUUCUAAUGAAAGAGUAUGCAGGCAGAGGCUAUAGAGUAAACCACAGCCCCUGAUAUUAAGAUGCUGUUUGACAGCAGCGGAGUGGGGAAGGCGAGGGAUGGAGGAUAAGGGGAGCACUUGCAGUUGGAAGGCACAGACAAAGAUGAUAAUGGAUAUUUCGAGAAGUGUUUCUCUUAAGAUUCAAAG
rnacentral:lncRNA from 13 species